rnacentral:rRNA from 1 species
UACGAAGGGUGCAAGCGUUGUUCGGAAUCAUUGGGCGUAAAGGGCGUGCAGGCGGUUUGUUAAGUGCAGGGUGAAAGCUCCCGGCUCAACUGGGAGAGGUCCUUGCAUACUGGCAAACUCGAGGGAGGCAGAGGAAAGUGGAAUUCCCGGUGUAGUGGUGAUAUGCGUAGAUAUCGGGAGGAACACCUGUGGCGAAGGCGGCUUACUGGACACAUAUUGACGCUGAGGUGCGAAAGCGUGGGGAGCAAACAGG